AAAGUGAAAGUACACGAGAUAGUGGUUGGCAAAGAGAAACAGAAGCUACUUGAAUAAUUCCUCCCCUUAAGACAAAGCAACGAGGAUUUAACUACUUGGAAAUCCUCGUUCGGCAACGAAGGAUCCUAAACAGCUCUCGAUGAAAUCCCAUUGGCAUCUCUGGAACAACAACUAAUCUCUUUCUAUCAAACGCGAUUAUCACCGAGAAGCGCGAUUCAACGUGAUGGCUCGAGUAUCGAAAACAAUUUAUAGACAUCCGGAAACUCCUGUGUACACUGUUAUAAAUGCUAGAUGCACUCCUGGAAAGUGCAAUCUCAUCGAUUCUCGCUUGGGAAAGCACGAGACAUCGCGAGGAGACGUCACCGAUUCUGCCGAUACGGGAUUCGCCAAUGUCUCCUAUUGAGCCCAAUACCAAUAAUGUGGUAGUUGCAGCCACGGACCGCGGUUCAGAGGGAAUUGCUUCCAAUAAUGUCAGACACACCCGUCUAACUUCUCGAUACGUUGGCCUUGCCAAACCCUCAGGGAUGUUUGCGGCUCGAUACAUUCGUUCUAUCUGUACGAUUAAAGAAAUCGAUUCCUGCUUACUCUUGGCACGUAUCUAGAAGGUAUACGCAAGCACGUCGCCAUCGAUGGUCCACUCACGGAAUUUUCACGGAUUGUUUGUUUGGAUGUAAGAUUAUUUCUAAUCGGUAUUUUUUGUCUUGAGACAGAUUUUAUUGAAUUGGGAUGACUUUAUAUUAGACAAGGUUUCAGAUGAUAUAGAACAGGCUUAGUAUUUAAUUUGAAACGUUUAAUUGCCAGAAGACAUUAUUGGAGAAAAGAUGUUAUGAGA